rnacentral:rRNA from 1 species
AGAGUUUGAUCAGUGGCUCGAGGACGAACGCUGGCGGCACGCUUAACACAUGCAAGUCGAACGGAGAAUUUUGGUUUACUGGAAUUCUUAGUGGCGGACGGGUGAGUAACACGUGAGCAACCUGCCUCUGAGAGAGGGAUAGCUUCUGGAAACGGAUGGUAAUACCUCAUAACAUAUACUGUAGACAUCUAUGGUAUAUCAAAGAAAAAUCGCUCAGAGAUGGGCUCGCGUCUGAUUAGGUAGUUGGUGAGGUAACGGCUCACCAAGCCGACGAUCAGUAGCCGGACUGAGAGGUUGGACGGCCACAUUGGGACUGAGACACGGCCCAGACUCC